AGUGAACGCUGGCGGUAGGCCUAACACAUGCAAGUCGAACGGCAGCACAGAGGAGCUUGCUCCUUGGGUGGCGAGUGGCGGACGGGUGAGGAAUACAUCGGAAUCUACUCUGUCGUGGGGGAUAACGUAGGGAAACUUACGCUAAUACCGCAUACGACCUACGGGUGACAGCAGGGGACCUUCGGGCCUUGCGCGAUUGAAUGAGCCGAUGUCGGAUUAGCUAGUUGGCGGGGUAAAGGCCCACCAAGGCGACGAUCCGCAGCUGGUCUGAGAGGAUGAUCAGCCACACUGGAACUGAGACACGGUCCAGACUCCUACGGGAGGCAGCAGUGGGGAAUAUUGGACAAUGGGCGCAAGCCUGAUCCAGCCAUACCGCGUGGGUGAAGAAGGCCUUCGGGUUGUAAAGCCCUUUUGUUGGGAAAGAAAUCCAGCUGGCUAAUACCCGGUUGGGAUGACGGUACCCAAAGAAUAAGCACCGGCUAACUUCGUGCCAGCAGCCGCGGAAA
rnacentral:rRNA from 1 species